rnacentral:piRNA from 1 species
UGUACAGGAAAAGAGAGGCUCUCUCCAGGA